GCGCAUCACGGCAUCAUGCUCUGUCUCCGGUUGUGAUAUCGCUUCGAGUACUACAAAAAUUGAAAUUAAUUCAUUUUCUUAUACUAUAUUUAAUAAACAAAGUGUUUGAAGUUGUGUUCCAAAUGUAGUAGGCAGAGUUUAUUUUUAGAAUUUCAUCAUGAAUGAGAAAUAUCCGUAUGCUGUUGUUGAAUUCAAUGACGGAUUUGAAAUCAUUAGAACAGAAUGGGCUGUUUUUCAAAAUCAACAAAUGGUAGCAAGUUAUUUCCCAACGGGAGCAUCGAAGACGGAUCUCUUGGAUUCAUAAAUUUUACCCACUUUCCGUGCAAUGGGCGAAUUACAUAAAGAAGUUAACACUGAUGUAACAAAAGAGCACAUUGCCAAAUGGUUAAUCAAUUGCAAGAUUAGACAUAAGCGUGAGAAGUUAGUAACAAAAAAGUUUAAAUUUUUAAACUUAAUUUAUAAGGGUGAACACAUGUCAGUAAAGUCAGGGAAAUGUCAAGGGAACAAAAUUUUUGUCAAUAAAAAAAUGUUUUUGAAUCAUUUUUUAACAUAAUUAAAUUUUUCAAAUUUUAAUUGCAAAUUUUGAAUUUAUACGAACGUUAGAAUUUUUUAUGAAUUAACAAAUUUUUUAAUAUAAUAAAAAUUAAAUGAUUUAAUUGACACUUAAAGUGAAAAGUAUUUUCUACAAAAAUUUCUUCAAAGCAAAAAUAUGUUGUUUGUACGUAUGAUAA